rnacentral:tRNA from 4 species
GCCCGGGUGGCGGAAUCGGUAGACGCAAGGGAUUUAAAAUCCCUCGAGGGCAACUUCGUGCGAGUUCAAGUCUCGCCCCGGGCACCA